AAGCUCAGGAGUAGUGAUGCUGGCAGUUUGGAUAUGCCUAAGAGAAGCCAUAAAGUUGUGUGUAUAUGUAUAAGAAAAAAGAAACACAGUAUAUACAGGGUUCAGUCAUAUCUGUGGUUUCAGACAUCCCCUGGGGGGCUUGGCACGUAUCCCCUGUGCGUAAGCAGAGACUUCUGUACGUGUCACUCCGGAACAGGCAAAACUAUGGAGACAGUAAAAAGAUCAGCAGCGGCCAAGUGUUGCAGGGUGGGUGGGGGAGAGGAUGGAGAGGGAGGGAGAAGUGGAGCACAGAGGACUUUCAGGGCAGUGAAAAAUACUCUGUUUGACACUAUAAUGGUGGGUACAUGUCAUUAUGUUUCACAAAAGUGAGCCCUCCUAUAAACUAUGGGCUCUGGAUAAUUACAUUGUGUCAUCAUAGUCUCAUCGAUUGUAACAAAGGUGCCACAGUGUUGGGGGAUGUUAAGGAUGGCGGAGGCUCUGCACGUGUGAAGGCAGGGAGUAUAUGGGGAAUCUCUGCAUCUUCUGCUCAGUUUUGCUGUAAACCCAAAAAGUGCUCUAAAAAUAGUCCUUAAAAUAAAGUGUCAGUUUGUAUGGUACUCACCACAAACUACCAUAUGCUGGGGAACUUAUUUGAAACGUGACAAAGAGUAUUAUGACAAGAUAUUAUGAGCCUUAAUCAUCCUCUCUUUUAAACAUUUAAUAGUCACCUCUAAAUGUCACAUCAUAAUGCUUUAUAAAGAACAUUUAUUACUUGCAUUAAUUAUGGAUUUUAUGGCAGACAGGGCUCACUGUCUAUAAAAUACCUGCUGUCCUUCCCCUUUACCAGAGAAUCUUGAUUUAGUUUGGAGUGGGAAUGGGUCCAGCCCCGAUCCCACACAGUUUGUAAGAUGUUUGAUUUCCUUCCUCUUCUGCAACUGGGGAUACUCCCAUGAUCCAGGUCUGGCCAAUCACACUGAAGCAGGAGACUGCUUGGCAGAGGGGGAGGAGACUGGGAUAACCACGCCCACCAAACCUACCUCCAACGGGACCAGUGCAUCCACUAGACCUCUGCCUAUCAUCCUGCAACAGAAAGACUAAGCACUUUCCAAGACACCACUAUAAUUUUUACCCAUUAUGUUCAUCACCCAAUCAGAAAUAUGAAACAUGCUAUCAUACGGAACAACAAACUGGAGACAAAGGAAAAUAGAAGUCAACAGGAAACAGGUCCAGAGAGGACUCAGACAUUGUAGUCUGCAGACAGGAUAUUAAGAUAAGUACGGGUAACACAUCAAGAAGGCGGAGGGAAAGAUGGAGAACUGCAGGAGAGACUCAGAAUCCACCCACAUUGUUAAAUAGAAGUCUGAGAACUGAUACACACAAGAGCAAAGCGAACAAUUUGUUGGAUGGCUGGAAAUAAAAGAUCACAAACAGUAGGGUGGCAGCGUGGAGGACAUGUCUGCGGAAAGGACACCUAUUUGUUCGUGAAGAAAAAGAACACAAAAGAGACAUCAGAUGAAAGGAAAUUUCUCACAUCCAUGCACUUAAAAUUCUACUGUGAGAGGAUCAAUAUGAAUCCUAUUUGAAUUAGAAAAGAACAGCAAAUCAAACCCAAUAGAAAGUAGAGGGGAGGCAAUCAAAUAUAACAGCAAAAUCCUAAGAAACAGAAAAUACAAAAAUUAUGUUUGGAAAAAGCAAUAAAGUUGUUAAAUGUCUAGCAACACUAAUCCAGAAAAAGAGCAGAAAAUCAAUCGUAUCAUAUAACCACACACACUGUAUCACAAAGCAAAUCAUGGAGUUUCAUUUUUAUGGACUACUAUACAAUAAACCAUCUCAAAAGUCAGUGGCUUAAAAUGAUAAUCCCUGAUUGUCUCUCCUGUUUCUGGAAGUUUCUGGAUUUCAGCUGAUUAGGCUGUGCCCAGUUAGGAGGCUAAGACAAAUGUAUCAACAGAGGAGGAGAGAAAGGAAAAACGGGGCCACGAUUAAAUCGACCACCACUGUCCACUACUUUAUGCCCAUAAAUAUUAUGAUACAGGAGAUGUACAAAUCACUUGAAAAAUAAGAGAAAACUGAAAGAAGAAAUAAUAAAUAUGAAUAGUCCUAUAUUAAAUAAUUUAAAUGUGAAAUUCAUCAUUGUUUUUUCACAAAAACAGUUCCUGGUAAGAAUGGCUUUCCAGAAUUCUUCCAAACAUUGAACAAAGGAAUAAUGCAAAUGUUGUAUAAAUACUUUUACAAAAUAGAAUGAGAUGGGACUGCCUGUUUCAUUUUUGAGGUUUUUGUGAACUUGAUAAGUACAACUGACAAGGUCAUUGUAAGAAAAAGUGCAGGCUAGGAUUUUUCAUGAACGUAAGCAAAAGUCCUAAAGAAAUUUAUAAGUUAAAUUCAAUACUAUGUACAAGGGAUAAUAUAUCAUGGUUAAUUUGGUUUAUAUCAAGAAAUAUUGCAAAGAUUAGUUUAAGAUUCAAAAUCGAUAAAUGCAGGUCACUAAAAUGAAGAGAACAAAGAAAAACACCAUAUGGUUCUCAAUAGAGAUUCAUAUUAAAAAAUCAAUGAAGUGGAAAGAGAAAGAAACUUUUUUAAAUCUAAUUAAGUAUAUCUAUCAAAGACCUUCAGCUAACAUUACAUUUGCUGUGGAAAUAUUAAACUCUUUCCCCUUAAGCUGGCAACGACAUUGAGGCUGCUCAUCACUUCUUUCCAACACUAUCCCAGGGGUCUUUGAUAAUGUAAUAAAGCAAGAAAAAGAAAUAAUGUAUUCAAAGAUGAGAUAAGAAUAAAUAAAUCCACCAGUAUUCACCGUUAACACUGAAAGCACCAAUAUUAUAUAUGAGUAUAAAUAAAAUGCCAUCCAAAUUAUUAUUUUGUGUGAGGAAAACAGGCUUGAGAAAAUAGUACUGAAA